rnacentral:rRNA from 1 species
UACGAAGGGGGCUAGCGUUGCUCGGAAUUACUGGGCGUAAAGCGCACGUAGGCGGCUCUUUAAGUCGGGGGUGAAAUCCUGGAGCUCAACUCCAGAACUGCCUUUGAUACUGGAGAGCUCGAGUCCGGGAGAGGUGAGUGGAACUGCGAGUGUAGAGGUGAAAUUCGUAGAUAUUCGCAAGAACACCAGUGGCGAAGGCGGCUCACUGGCCCGGUACUGACGCUGAGGUGCGAAAGCGUGGGGAGCAAACAGG